ACUCCUACGGGAGGCAGCAGUAGGGAAUCUUCCGCAAUGGACGAAAGUCUGACGGAGCAACGCCGCGUGAGUGACGAAGGUUUUCGGAUCGUAAAACUCUGUUGUGAGGGAAGAACACGUGCCAAUUAACUACUGGCAUUUUGACGGUACCUCACCAGAAAGCCACGGCUAACUACGUGCCAGCAGCCGCGGUAAUACGUAGGUGGCAAGCGUUGUCCGGAAUUGUUGGGCGUAAAGCGCGCGCAGGCGGUCCUUUAAGUCUGAUGUGAAAGCCCACGGCUCAACCGUGGAGGGUCAUUGGAAACUGGAGGACUUGAGUGCAGAAGAGGAAAGUGGAAUUCCAUGUGUAGCGGUGAAAUGCGUAGAGAUGUGGAGGAACACCAGUGGCGAAGGCGACUUUCUGGUCUGUAACUGACGCUGAGGCGCGAAAGCGUGGGGAGCAAACAGGAUUAGAUACCCUGGUAGUCCACGCCGUAAACGAUGAGUGCUAAGUGUUAGGGGGUUUCCGCCCCUUAGUGCUGCAGCUAACGCAUUAAGCACUCCGCCUGGGGAGUACGG
rnacentral:rRNA from 1 species